rnacentral:rRNA from 1 species
UUAAGCGACUAAGCGUACACGGUGGAUGCCCUGGCAGUCAGAGGCGAUGAAGGGCGUGCUAAUCUGCGAUAAGCGCCGGUAAGGUGAUAUGAACCGUUAUAACCGGCGAUACCGAAUGGGGAAACCCAGUGUGAUUCGUCACACUAUCAUUAACUGAAUCCAUAGGUUAAUGAGGCGAACCGGGGGAACUGAAACAUCUAAGUACCCCGAGGAAAAGAAAUCAACCGAGAUUCCCCCAGUAGCGGCGAGCGAACGGGGAGGAGCCCAGAGCCUGAAUCAGCAUGUGUGUUAGUGGAAGCGUCUGGAAAGGCGCGCGAUACAGGGUGACAGCCCCGUACACAAAAGCGCAUGUGCUGUGAGCUCGAUGAGUAGGGCGGGACACGUGGUAUCCUGUCUGAAUAUGGGGGGACCAUCCUCCAAGGCUAAAUACUCCUGACUGACCGAUAGUGAACCAGUACCGUGAGGGAAAGGCGAAAAGAACCCCGGCGAGGGGAGUGAAAAAGAACCUGAAACCGUGUACGUACAAGCAGUGGGAGCACAGGUUUACCUGUGUGACUGCGUACCUUUUGUAUAAUGGGUCAGCGACUUAUAUUCUGUAGCAAGGUUAACCGAAUAGGGGAGCCGGAGGGAAACCGAGUCUUAAUUGGGCGUUAAGUUGCAGGGUAUAGACCCGAAACCCGGUGAUCUAGCCAUGGGCAGGUUGAAGGUUGGGUAACACUAACUGGAGGACCGAACCGACUAAUGUUGAAAAAUUAGCGGAUGACCUGUGGCUGGGGGUGAAAGGCCAAUCAAACCGGGAGAUAGCUGGUUCUCCCCGAAAGCUAUUUAGGUAGCGCCUCGUGAAUUCAUCUCCGGGGGUAGAGCACUGUUUCGGCUAGGGGGCCAUCCCGGCUUACCAACCCGAUGCAAACUGCGAAUACCGGAGAAUGUUAUCACGGGAGACACACGGCGGGUGCUAACGUCCGUCGUGAAGAGGGAAACAACCCAGACCGCCAGCUAAGGUCCCAAAGUCAUGGUUAAGUGGGAAACGAUGUGGGAAGGCCCAGACAGCCAGGAUGUUGGCUUAGAAGCAGCCAUCAUUUAAAGAAAGCGUAAUAGCUCACUGGUCGAGUCGGCCUGCGCGGAAGAUGUAACGGGGCUAAACCAUGCACCGAAGCUGCGGCAGCGAACGUAUCACCCAAGACAACUUUACGGAGUUGACGAUUGACGGAGCGAAGCGACGUCAAAGCGUUCAUUAAAGUCGAGUUGGCUUAGGGAUACGUUCGUUGGGUAGGGGAGCGUUCUGUAAGCCUGUGAAGGUGUGUCGUGAGGCAUGCUGGAGGUAUCAGAAGUGCGAAUGCUGACAUAAGUAACGAUAAAGCGGGUGAAAAGCCCGCUCGCCGGAAGACCAAGGGUUCCUGUCCAACGUUAAUCGGGGCAGGGUGAGUCGACCCCUAAGGCGAGGCCGAAAGGCGUAGUCGAUGGGAAACGGGUUAAUAUUCCCGUACUUGGUGUUACUGCGAAGGGGGGACGGAGAAGGCUAUGUUGGCCGGGCGACGGUUGUCCCGGUUUAAGCGUGUAGGUGUGUGUUCCAGGUAAAUCCGGUUCACUUUAACACUGAGGCGUGACGACGAGGCACUACGGUGCUGAAGCAACAAAUGCCCUGCUUCCAGGAAAAGCCUCUAAGCAUCAGGUAACACGAAAUCGUACCCCAAACCGACACAGGUGGUCAGGUAGAGAAUACCAAGGCGCUUGAGAGAACUCGGGUGAAGGAACUAGGCAAAAUGGUGCCGUAACUUCGGGAGAAGGCACGCUGACACGUAGGUGAAGUGAUUUACUCAUGGAGCUGAAGUCAGUCGAAGAUACCAGCUGGCUGCAACUGUUUAUUAAAAACACAGCACUGUGCAAACACGAAAGUGGACGUAUACGGUGUGACGCCUGCCCGGUGCCGGAAGGUUAAUUGAUGGGGUCAGCGCAAGCGAAGCUCCUGAUCGAAGCCCCGGUAAACGGCGGCCGUAACUAUAACGGUCCUAAGGUAGCGAAAUUCCUUGUCGGGUAAGUUCCGACCUGCACGAAUGGCGUAAUGAUGGCCAGGCUGUCUCCACCCGAGACUCAGUGAAAUUGAACUCGCUGUGAAGAUGCAGUGUACCCGCGGCAAGACGGAAAGACCCCGUGAACCUUUACUAUAGCUUGACACUGAACAUUGAGCCUUGAUGUGUAGGAUAGGUGGGAGGCUUUGAAGUGUGGACGCCAGUCUGCAUGGAGCCGACCUUGAAAUACCACCCUUUAAUGUUUGAUGUUCUAACGUGGACCCGUAAUCCGGGUUGCGGACAGUGUCUGGUGGGUAGUUUGACUGGGGCGGUCUCCUCCUAAAGAGUAACGGAGGAGCACGAAGGUUGGCUAAUCCUGGUCGGACAUCAGGAGGUUAGUGCAAUGGCAUAAGCCAGCUUGACUGCGAGCGUGACGGCGCGAGCAGGUGCGAAAGCAGGUCAUAGUGAUCCGGUGGUUCUGAAUGGAAGGGCCAUCGCUCAACGGAUAAAAGGUACUCCGGGGAUAACAGGCUGAUACCGCCCAAGAGUUCAUAUCGACGGCGGUGUUUGGCACCUCGAUGUCGGCUCAUCACAUCCUGGGGCUGAAGUAGGUCCCAAGGGUAUGGCUGUUCGCCAUUUAAAGUGGUACGCGAGCUGGGUUUAGAACGUCGUGAGACAGUUCGGUCCCUAUCUGCCGUGGGCGCUGGAGAACUGAGGGGGGCUGCUCCUAGUACGAGAGGACCGGAGUGGACGCAUCACUGGUGUUCGGGUUGUCAUGCCAAUGGCACUGCCCGGUAGCUAAAUGCGGAAGAGAUAAGUGCUGAAAGCAUCUAAGCACGAAACUUGCCCCGAGAUGAGUUCUCCCUGAGACUUAGAGUCUCCUGAAGGAACGUUGAAGACGACGACGUUGAUAGGCCGGGUGUGUAAGCGCAGCGAUGCGUUGAGCUAACCGGUACUAAUGAACCGUGAGGCUUAACCU